rnacentral:rRNA from 1 species
AGAGCGAACGCUGGCGGCAGGCCUAACACAUGCAAGUCGAACGGACCCUUCGGGGUUAGUGGCGGACGGGUGAGUAACACGUGGGAACGUGCCUUUUGGUUCGGAAUAGCUCCUGGAAACGGGUGGUAAUGCCGAAUGUGCCCUUCGGGGGAAAGAUUUAUCGCCAUUAGAGCGGCCCGCGUCUGAUUAGCUAGUUGGUGAGGUAAUGGCUCACCAAGGCGACGAUCAGUAGCUGGUCUGAGAGGAUGACCAGCCACAUUGGGACUGAGACACGGCCCAAACUCCUACGGGAGGCAGGCAGGUGGGGAAUCGUUGCGCAAGUGGGCGAAAGCCUGACGCACGCCAUCGCCGCGUAGAAUGAGUGAAGGUCGUUAGGAUUAGUAAAAUUCUUACGACCGGGUAACGA